UUUACAUUUUUAAAUAUUACUUUUACAGCUCUGCUUGUGCUUCUUGGCCUACUUUUGAAGAGUUACUACAACAACAAAUAUUUGAAGACAUUCUACAUUGUAAAACAAUAGCUUCAAUUUAGAAAAAGCAGCACCUGUGCAUGGCAAUUGGCCCCAGUUUUUAUUUUUUUUGCAAUUCACAUAAUUUCUUUCAUAUCAUAUGUUCUUUUACAACUGAUGUGUGAAUAAUAUGCAUAUGUAAAAGCUUUUUUUAAUUGCAAAGGUUCAUUUAAAACCUGCCAAUAUCACGUUUCAUCAUUUAUAACAUGUAAAUUUAUAUAUAUAUAUGGAAUGGUUCUCGAUUUUAUUUAAACAUUUAUUUAUUUAAGGAUCCCCCUAAGUCUUAACCAAAGAUGAGACUACUCUACUUGGGGUCCACAUUGAAAGAAUACAUGCGUCUUUACAUAAAAUCUAAAAAUACAUUACAUCAUUAAAACCUACAUCAAAAUACAAAUAUCAAAAUCAACACAUAGGAAAUGUAUGAUUUUCAAAUAAAACGUCGUAGACUUUUUUUUUUUUGUCUUUCCUUAGAGACAAUAGAUGAUUCACCCGCUAUGUGAGUAUUCUUGUGUUUAUAGUCACUUCUGGGUCACAGUGUGCACGAAAAACAGAACUACAUCUCUGGACCUCAGGGUUUUAAAAUGGAAGAAAUAUGCAGAACUAAAUUUCUGUCAGAGCAGAUUCAAGCAAAUCUUUUGACAGCUGAUCAAGCUUGUCUUUGAAAAUCAACAUUUUGUUGAGUUAAAGUUUAAGAAGUGUCCAGUAAAAAAAGCAGGAGCACAUUGGAGGCUAACCAGCAACUCUGGUGUGUGAUGUUAUGAGUUUACACAAGUUUACUUUCAUUCUAGGAUUUAUGUACUGAGCUCCAUGUCUAUUAGCAUUGGAUUUCGCAUUUCUUUUAACUUAAAAAACAAAGUUGUUCUGAAAAAAAUGUUCUUAUUGUUUCAGCAAACUACAAGGGGCUACAAGGUGGAUGGAUGGAUGAAAGAUAUGCUGCUAACCCCUUAAUCCUGGAGAUGUUGCAGGACUCAGUAAAGAACUGGCACCCCCAAAAUACUGUAACUACUAUUUUCGCAAUUAAAGUAAUUUCAAUUGAUUAAUGGAAAUUUGUUGAAAUACGCUAAUUGCAUAAACACUUAACAAAUGUGAAAUGUUGCAUAUCACCAUAAAGCUGCUUUUCUCCGCGUCAGAAUCUGUUGGAUUUGGCUAAUCGCACUUUACAGCAUUUAAGUGUUGCAUUUAAGUUGCUUUUCUCUGCAGCAAAAUCUAUUGAAAUACGCUAACUACGAAGAAACUUUUCAACUCUAACGUGUUCCACAUCAACGUAUGGCUACUUUCUCCGCUUCAGAAUCUUUUGGACCACAUUUAUUGUGUUAAUUACACCAGGGCUAAAACUUUUUUAUAAUAGGUUUAUUAAAAAAAUUUACUAAAAAAAAAAAAAAAUCAUGUUUAGCUCCUCCCAUCUGUUUCAUAUCAGCAAACUUGUAUUAAUUGUAUUAACUACAUCAGAGGUGAAGCUUUAGUGCAAAAAGGGUUGAAAAUCUGACUCCUCUCAUUUGGAUAAUGGGAUAAGGGGCAGGACAGCAUCAACAGGUCAGUGCUGUCUGCAGCUUCUCUGCCUCUGAUUUUGUGUUUGACUCAAAGCCAGGCUGACAAAAGUACAAAAAAUCUGUCAACCCUUUAGGGAGACAGGAUUCAGCUUUUCUCAGUGUUUUAGUUCACAGACGUCUCAGAAACAGAGAUUAUUUUUCAUUAUAUGUCACUCUUUAACUUUUUUUCCCCCCAGAAAUGUUAAUAUCAAAAGAUGAAUCUCUUUGAAAAUAAAUAAAAAAGUCUAGUUUUGCACAUCUGGAAAAAGGUGAAAUCAGGGAACAGUGGCACAUGUCAGUCACAACAAAAAAGGCGAAUGACUCCGUGAGCUCCCUCUAAUACAACCGAAGAUCUUCAAAGAGUCAGGUGAGACCUUCCAACAUCAAAGAGCCUCAUUUGACACGGCAGACCCACAGUAUUCCAGGCUGUCAGCGGCAACAUAUGUAAGAAUCCUCAUCUGCUUGUACUGAAUCACACACAAUCUGCUAUAGGUGAUAUAAGAUCUAAGUGAAGCACUUACCUCCCUUCACGGCUGUUAUGUAAUGCGCAGACAGAAUGUUGCUUAAAAUAGCUGCAGCUCUGCAUAUGGAAGCACGAGUAGACACCGAUCUACAGCUUGUAAAGUGUCUACAGUGGAGACCACCAGCAGGGAAAUGUAGGUUCAUGUAAGGAUGGUUUUUAGAUCCUCAAAUAAAAGGUUUGAACUAGUUUACAUGCAGGGAAGUCUGCAACAUUUAUGAUGGUAGGUAACCCAACAGUAAAUAAAUAAAGUAAAACAUCGAAAAUGUUUGACAAAUUGCGUAAAUAAUGCUACUGUACAUACUUGUCACGUUAGAAGCGUUAGCUGAGUUAGAGCUUUUACAAUAUGUGGAACUCCCAACCUAGUUUUCAACACUUAAAAAACAGUAAGAUACCGCGAAAACACUCGUUGCUGUGACUCUGCGAACUUCCUACUUUCUUAGUUACAUGUAAAAAAAAAAAAAAAAAAA